rnacentral:lncRNA from 1 species
UUGCAACUAUAGACCACCCUUUGUAACUGUCGAACUGCACUUUACAUAAUGCCAAAGCCCUAUUGCCUUACCGCACUUUACACGAUGCCAAAGCUCUAUUGUCAGACCGCACUUUACAUAGUGCCGGAGCCCUACUACUGAACCACACUUACACAGUGUGGAAGCCCCUGUUUUGGUAGGAUAGAGGAGAGAGAGGCGUGGGUAAGUUAGAAGUAAGGGAGGGUAGUUUAGGUAUUUUUUUUUGUUUUUUUGGUUGGGGGUAUUUGAGUAGAAAGUAUAUUUUGGGGUAAAACGUGAGAAAAAAAGUUAAGUUGGGGGUAAGUUGCAUAGAAAGUGUAGUCUUGAGAGUUUUUGUAAUUUUCCCUAGAUAUUUUAUAUGAGUGGGUUACACAUGGCUAUUUAUAAUUGUUCUUGUAAUCAAUGGAUGCAAAAAUGAGGCAACUACUUUUCUCUUAGCCCUUGAUUCAAAUCAAGAUAUGUAGAAUUAAAAAACUUUAUUUAAUUUUUUAUUUUGAUUUUCAUCAGUUCAAGUUGAUCGCUCUAGAUUAUUCGGAGCGAGCAGAUCCAGGCAGAAAAAAGAAGAAUUAGUGAGAAAAUGUGGUUGCGAGAAAUUAUCGUGGUUUUUCUAUUUUUUUAUUUCCUUUCUUUAGUCAAUCUUUAUUUCUUUUAGUGGAUUUUGUUUGGAGAUUAUAAAUUUCCAUUAUUGUUAACCUUCUGAUAAUAAGAUGAAUGGAAAAGUUUGUCUGUUAAUGGUUGGUAGGAAGUUAUCUUUUUAGAAAAGGAAGUAUAUGUCAUUUUUCAGUAGGAAAAUCCUUUAGAAAGGGAAAGGUUUAGAAAUACUUUUGGAAAGAAUUAUUAAAGAGAUU